GGUAAUAGUCCUGUAGCCGAAACCAAAAGCGGCUCUUAGAACCGUUACCCGAGUAGCGCGGGGCACGAGGAAUCCCGUGUGAAUCAGGGAGGACCACCUUCCAAGGCUAAAUACUACCUGGCGACCGAUAGCGGAUAGUACCGUGAGGGAAAGGUGAAAAGCACCCCGGGAGGGGAGUGAAAUAGAACCUGAAACCAUGAGCUUACAAUCAGUCAGAGCACUAUGGGGAAGCUUGCUUCUCCAGUGUGAUGGCGUACUUUUUGUAGAACGGGCCGGCGAGUUAUGGUCGGUAGCGAGGUUAAGGGACUUUGUUCCGGAGCCGUAGCGAAAGCGAGUCUUAACAGGGCGAUUAGUUACCGGCUGUAGACCCGAAACCGGGUGAUCUACCCAUGGCCAGGGUGAAGCUCGGGUGAUGCUGAGUGGAGGCCGGAUGGCGUAGGCGAUGGAUAACUGGUGGAGAUUCCAGUGCCACCUUAAGGCCGUUAUGAGCGAUGGGGUGACGCAGGAGGGUAGGCGCAGCGCACCGUUGGUUGUGUGCGUCCAAGCGUGUAGGGAGAGCCGGUAGGCAAAUCCGCCGGCUUGUUAAUCCCGAGGCGCGAUGGGGAGCGAAAAUAUGUAGUAGCGAACUGGCCGAUCCCAUACUGCCGAGAAAAGCCUCUAGCCAGGCCUGAAGGUGCCCGUACCGUAAACCGACACAGGUAGGCGGGGAGAGUAUCCUCAGGCGCGCGGGAAAACCCUCGUUAAGGAACUCGGCAAAUUGACCCCGUAACUUUGGGAGAAGGGGUGCCCCGGUAGGGUGAGCACUUUUGCGGUGCAAGCCCGAGGGGGCCGCAGUGAAUAGGCCCAAGCGACUGUUUAUCAAAAACACAGGUCUCUGCGAAGUCGAAAGACGAUGUAUAGGGACUGACGCCUGCCCAGUGCUGGAAGGUUAAGGAAAAGGGUUAUUCAGCACUUUAAGCUUAGUCUUAAGUGCUGAAGAAGCUCUGAACCUAAGCCCCAGUAAACGGCGGCCGUAACUAUAACGGUCCUAAGGUAGCGAAAUUCCUUGUCGGGUAAGUUCCGACCCGCACGAAAGGCGUAACGACUUGGGCGCUGUCUCGACGAGGGACCCGGUGAAAUUGAAUUGCCCGUGAAGAUGCGGGCUACCCACGACAAGACGGCAAGACCCCGUGGAGCUUUACUGUAGCCUGAUAUUGGGUCUUGGUGUUAAAU
rnacentral:rRNA from 1 species